rnacentral:tRNA from 1 species
AUAUUUAUAGUUAAUAUAUAACAUUAAAAUGCAAUUCUAAAGUAAAAAAAAUUUUUUAAAUAUA